rnacentral:rRNA from 1 species
AUUGAACGCUGGCGGCAUGCCUUACACAUGCAAGUCGAACGGUAACAGGUCUUCGGAUGCUGACGAGUGGCGAACGGGUGAGUAAUACAUCGGAACGUGCCUAGUAGUGGGGGAUAACUACUCGAAAGAGUGGCUAAUACCGCAUGAGAUCUACGGAUGAAAGCAGGGGAUCGAAAGACCUUGUGCUACUAGAGCGGCCGAUGGCAGAUUAGGUAGUUGGUGGGAUAAAAGCUUACCAAGCCGACGAUCUGUAGCUGGUCUGAGAGGACGAUCAGCCAAACUGGGACUGAGACACGGCCCAGACUCCUACGGGAGGCAGCAGUGGGGAAUUUUGGACAAUGGGCGAAAGCCUGAUCCAGCAAUGCCGCGUGCAGGAUGAAGGCCUUCGGGUUGUAAACUGCUUUUGUACGGAACGAAAAGCCCUGGGUUAAUACCCUGGGGUCAUGACGGUACCGUAAGAAUAAGCACCGGCUAACUUCGUGCCAGCAGCCGCCGUAAAAC